rnacentral:rRNA from 1 species
GAUGAACGCUAGCGACAGGCCUAACACAUGCAAGUCGAGGGGCAGCACAUGAGUAGCAAUACGAUGGUGGCGACCGGCGCACGGGUGAGUAACACGUAUGCAACCUACCGGUAAAAGGGGGAUAGCCUCUCGAAAGAGAGAUUAAUACCGCAUAAUAUCUUUGGAUGGCAUCAUUUAGAGAUUAAACAUUUAUGGUUUACCGAUGGGCAUGCGUAUGAUUAGCUAGAAGGUGAGGUAACGGCUCACCUAGGCAACGAUCAUUAGGGGUUCUGAGAGGAAGGUCCCCCACACUGGUACUGAGACACGGACCAGACUCCUACGGGAGGCAGCAGUGAGGAAUAUUGGUCAAUGGGCGAGAGCCUGAACCAGCCAAGUCGCGUGAAGGAUGAAGGUUCUAUGGAUUGUAAACUUCUUUUGUAAGGGAAUAAAAAGUGGUACGUGUACCAUAUUGUAUGUACUUUACGAAUAAGGAUCGGCUAACUCCGUGCCAGCAGCCGCUGUAACAC